AAAAAAUACUUCAGGGCCGUCUCUUCCUGGUUCUUCCCAGAGUCAGGAAAAACUGGGUUGAAAGGGUGUUUAAAAAAAAAAC
rnacentral:pre_miRNA from 13 species